GCAGUAGCUCAGGGGUAGAGUGUCUCCUUUGAAUGCAGAAGGUCAUAGGUUCAAACCCAGGCAUCUCCC